AGAGUUUGAUCCUGGCUCAGAUUGAACGCUGGCGGCAUGCCUUACACAUGCAAGUCGAACGGCAGCACGGGAGCAAUCCUGGUGGCGAGUGGCGAGCGGGUGAGUAAUAUAUCGGAACGUGCCCAGUCGUGGGGGAUAACGUAGCGAAAGCUACGCUAAUACCGCAUACGAUCUAUGGAUGAAAGCGGGGGAUCGCAAGACCUCGCGCGAUUGGAGCGGCCGAUAUCAGAUUAGCUAGUUGGUGGGGUAAAGGCCCACCAAGGCGACGAUCUGUAGCUGGUCUGAGAGGACGACCAGCCACACUGGAACUGAGACACGGUCCAGACUCCUACGGGAGGCAGCAGUGGGGAAUUUUGGACAAUGGGCGCAAGCCUGAUCCAGCAAUGCCGCGUGCAGGACGAAGGCCUUCGGG
rnacentral:rRNA from 1 species